rnacentral:rRNA from 1 species
CAGUCGCCGCGGUAAUACGUAGGUGGCAAGCGUUGUCCGGAAUUACUGGGCGUAAAGCGUGCGCAGGCGGUUCUAUAAGACAGAUGUGAAAUCCCCGGGCUCAACCUGGGAACUGCAUUUGUGACUGUAGAGCUGGAGUACGGCAGAGGGGGAUGGAAUUCCGCGUGUAGCAGUGAAAUGCGUAGAUAUGCGGAGGAACACCGAUGGCGAAGGCAAUCCCCUGGGCCUGUACUGACGUUCAUGCACGAAAGCGUGGGGAGCAAACAGGAUUAGAUACCCCAGUAGUCCCUGUCUCUUAUAC